rnacentral:rRNA from 1 species
CCUACGGGAGUCAGCAGUGAGGAAUAUUGGUCAAUGGACGCAAGCCUGAACCAGCCAAGUAGCGUGCAGGAUGACUGCCCUACGGGUUGUAAACUUCUUUUAUACAGGGAUAAAGUGAGACACGUGUGCCUGUUUGUAUGUACUUUAUGAAUAAGGAUCGGCUAACUCCGUGCCAGCAGCCGCGGUAAUACGGAGGAUCCGAGCGUUAUCCGGAUUUAUUGGGUUUAAAGGGAGCGUAGAUGGUUUGUUAAGUCAGUUGUGAAAGUUUGAGGCUCAACAGUAAAAUUGCAAUUGAUACUGGCAGACUUGAGUAUAGUUGAGGUAGGCGGAAUGCGUGGUGUAGCGGUGAAAUGCUUAGAUAUCACGCAGAACACCGAUUGCGAAGGCAGCUUACUAAACUGCCACUGACAUUGAUGCUCGAAAGUGUGGGUAUCAAACAGGAUUAGAUACCCGUGUAGUC